ensembl:lncRNA
CUCAGAGCCACUUGGCAAAGCGCUGCUGUGCCGGCAAAGGGAUGGAAAUCACACAGAACAGCUGUGACUAAUACCAUCUUGUAAGUGCUAUAUAGCCCUGAAAGAAAAACCUUGGAGUGCUUCAGAACAAUCCGGAGAAAUAGAAGAGGAGGUGGAGGAAGAGGAGGAGGAGGAGGAGGAGGAGGAAAUUCCCCUCAAAAAUCUAAAUGGCUGAGUGUUCCUUAACAGGACAACAGGUUACAGGAGCAUCAAAACACAAGGCGGGGUACACCCUGGACAGGGUGCCAGUCCAUCGCAGGGCACAAUCACAUACACACUCACCAUUCAUACACUACAGACACACCAAUCAGCCUACCAUGCAUAUCUUUGGACCGGAGUACCCGGAGGAAACCCCUGCAGCAUGGGGAGAACAGGCAAACUCCGCAGACACGGCCCCGGCAGGAAUCGAACCCCGGCCCCUGGAG